GGGAAUUUCAAUGACCAUGAGUAUCCAGUGAAAGCUGUUUACACACACAUAUAUAUAGUCAGGCCUAUAUAUAACUAUAUAAAACUUGUCUCGAGUAAUAAUUAUUGAAAUAAAAUAUGCAUGCACUUAAUAACUAUAUAACUCACUCAAAGUUGAAGGGGAAGAGUAUUUUUUGUUUUUCUUUUUGGUUCACAAAGAACCUCAUAAGAUUGGUGCAGACUUCUGUCUCAUGAGCUGCUGUCCACACUGCCUGCGGAGCUUUGAAAACAAUAUAAGGGUCAACGAACCCAAUACUAUUGUCAUUUCUGAUUCUGAGCUCUCUCAUUUGGUGCCUGCAUAUAUACAUACAAAUCCUAAGUGUGUAAGGAUUAUAUACAUAUAAUUAAAGAAGUUAGAAGUAUAAUAAAAAGAAAAAUAUACUUAUAGACAAAAGCAGCUGACAAGAGAUUUAUCGAGAGCGUCGAGGUGACACAAUUGGUGCAAUUCUUCGAACUGCACGUAUAUGAGGUCAUCUCCACGGAAGUAGUGAUGUUGUCUAAUACGAACAUAAAUCCAAUUCUCUCUCCUUUUAGACGCCUCAAUGCACCAUUUGUUUAUUGCAAACAUUUGUGUGCCGAGCUCAUGUAAACGCUAAGGGUCGAAUAGACUUCUGCCCGGUUCAUAUCUUGCCCUCCAUUGAUCAACUACCUCAGCUUUUUCAAAUGUUUGGCAUCCAAGAAUGGCGGC
rnacentral:lncRNA from 1 species